UACGGGGGGGGCAAGCGUUGUUCGGAAUUACUGGGCGUAAAGGGCGCGUAGGCGGUUCGCUAAGUUGAAUGUGAAAACUCUGGGCUUAACCCAGAGCCUGCAUCCAAAACUGGCGAACUGGAGUACUGGAGGGGAAAGCGGAAUUCCUGGUGUAGCGGUGAAAUGCGUAGAUAUCAGGAGGAACACCGGUGGCGAAGGCGGCCCUCUGGACGAGUACUGACGCUGAGGCGCGAAAGCGUGGGGAUCAAACAGG
rnacentral:rRNA from 1 species